AAGGGUCUCGGACCAGACAAAAAACAAAAAUAAAAAGAAAAAGAAAGUGCUAUAUAAAGUGCAAGGAUAUGCGAUUGGGUCGGUUAGGUCACGAUGGCUCUCCGCGUCCUCUGUUCCCGUCCUUCCUCCCUGAUCUGCCACCGCUUCUUGGGGACGAUCGAUCGUCUUCUAACUAAGAAUAUUAGGGUUCGUAAGAAGGCAGCCGCCGCUGCAUAGGGGAGGAGGAUUUGAUUUCUCUUUUCCCGAUCAAUGGGGUUACUCUUUAUGUUUCCUCUGCGUGGCACCCUCCAUCGGGAUGGCGUGGUAGCUCGGAUGGCCUGCUUCUCUGAAGGCAACCGCUGCCGCCAUUCUCUUUCGGAGAGGCGCAAGUAAGGAGGACAUCGACAAAUUAAAGAAUGAUUUGAUAGGGACCCUUUGCGUGGAAUUUGUGAUCUUCGUUUGAGGCGGCUUGGAGCCUCUUCCUCUGGAUCUUUUGAGGUUCAGAAUUUCACAAAAAAGGAAUCACUUUUUUGUCCUUUCAGAAAGAUUGAUAGGUUUUUUUCUUGUUUGUCAACUGGCCAUUACUUUUUAACUUACCUUUGUAUCUGAGCAAUUGACAAGUCAGUUGACUAAUAUAAGUUUAAUGGUAUCUAGGAGCAGUUGUCGGAAAGGUCAGGUGCUCAUCAACACAAUUUUCUUAUAAAAGGUUUUGCUUGUAUCCUUUUAAGAUAACUGCUUUUUUGUAUCAAUUGCCAUAUCUCUUCUAGUGAAGUGAGGCAUACAUUCAUGCAAUUUCCCCACGAAGGGGUUGUUUUUUCAUUUCAUAAGGGUUUAUUUAGGCUUUAUGUAAAUUGCCUUUCUUAUUUCGAGCUAGCAUGCUCUCUAUUUUCUACAAACUCAAUUCUCCCACCAAUUAUCAGAUACUACCGUCCAUCUAUUUUUACUCUUAUGCAUGCGUGUGAAAAAGGUGUGACGGUCAAUUGUGAGGUUUUUAUGUGUGCAUUGCUUUAGUCACCCAUGAAUGAAAUUCCAAAAAAUCACCCUAGAAAGCAGAAUAAGGCAAAAAUCAAUGACAUUGGCACCAUUCAUGAUCAGUAAACCAUUGAUGAUAUUGGCGGUUAAACCAUCUAGGUUUCUUUUGAGCUUGUCUUGUGGGUGUAGAAGGCAUUCUCAUUAUAAAUAUCUGUCAAGUUGGAAGGAAGGAGCCUUCAUCUUAUUGUCUCUUUCAUGGCAUUUAUUUUUACAAUUAUGGCAUGUAGCUAGGUGGCCUGGUUUUUCCCAGGCAACUGUUGCUGCUAUUCUUUAUCUUCUACGUUGAGGCACAGUAAGUAGAUUCCAAAAGGAUGGAUGUGACUUUUCUAUCCCUGAUUGAUUGAAGGCAGAUCUGAGCCCUUAUAUGAUAUCUUUCUUUAUUUAAGAUGAUUCAUGUUUAGAUAAAAUUUCCAGUUUGUAGAGCUAAAUUGUUUACAAUUUAAUAAAUUCCAUCUUGCUUUUCUGUAUGGUGAUUGCAUUUUGAUUUUCUAUAUUCUGUUCUUUUAUUGCAUGUAUUUUAGAUUUUUUUUGUAUUGUAGCUGAAUUUUAAUGUUGCUAUAUGUUUAUUUACCUGUUCAUGGCUUUUGCUUUCCUUCUUUAUGUUUGAAAAUCUGUACAAUUGAUUUGCCAAAAUAAUAAGUUCGAGCAGUGAAGUUUGCAUUUAGUGAGUAGUUCACUAAAACUAUGACAAAUUUAUGAGGAUUGUUUGUGUGCAUAAAAGAAUGAAUGUGAGCAUGGCCAAUGAGACCAGCGAUGGAUGGAAUAAUGUAUUACAUCCCAAUGAUUUCUCCAGAAACAUCCUCUUAUGCAUCUCCUUGACAAACCUAAUGUUUGCGUCCGGCUGAAAAUUGCCAUAGAAAAUUGCUUUAGACAUCAAUACAAGAAAACUCCAAAAGGAAAUCCUGGUCAGUUUUAAAAAAAAUAAAGGGGAACUCUGCUGUUAUGUUAUGUAUGAGAUUGACGUGAUUGACAAUUACGACCAUAUGUAUUUUCUUCCCUGGACUUCUUUUGUGGGUGAAAAAAGCAAUUGUCAUUGCAAUCUUUUAUGCUAACCAGGUGCCACUUUUGUGUUCCUUUGUGGGUGACUGAAUCACUCCUUGAAAGUGGUCAGUUAUCCUUUUGGGUUUAUAUGCUCUGAUUUAGUUUAUUAUCGGAAUCUUUCAAGUUUCCCAUUUAACAUUGAAUGUCCAUCUGCCAUACAAAGUGAAUGGACCCUUCCAGGUGUCCUCUUCUAUACGGAGGCUAUGAUGAUUUAUCUGAAUGUGAGGCCAUAUUUGUAUAUCAGAUUUUGUAAGAAACAACCACUAUUGGCUCCUCUUUUUGGUUAAUCUUUAAGAUGGCAUGGUAGCUCAGAGGGCCUGCUACUUAGGCAAGGGCUGCAGCUUUUCUUAAGAGAGACAGGGAGGGGACAAAGUAAGGAAGGUUUCUCUAUAUCUGAUCGAUUGAAGAAAAUCUGAGCCUCUCUUAGUGCUGUCUCUGCAAUCCCUUGGUAUUGAGGCUGGUAAGGCAGAAGUGGCAGGGAAGAUACCACUCAUUCAUCUCAUUAGUUUAAGUAUGAGGCUGUCGAGGAAGCCGAUGAUUCUUUUUAUCUUGUGUAUUUAGAGGCUGUGAUGAUUGGCCCUCACAGUGGAAUGUGGGGGUUCAUUAAUAUCAUAUAGAUGGAAGAAACAAUCCUGCCUCUGAAUGGCUUCUCUGUUGCAUUUGUUUAUAUGAAACAAAGGCAUGGCAGCUUGGACGGCCUGCUUCUCUGCAGGCAACCGCAACCGCCUUUUGUUAAUAGAGGCAUGGUGAGGACAUUCUAGGAGGAGGAUGUAUAUGUCUCUCCACUGAUGUGUUGAAGUCCGAUCUGAGCCUUCCUUUGGUAGCUCUCCUUAUUUUAGCAUGGUUGUUUUUUUUUUAAUGAAAUUACUAGUUCUCAUCAGCAAUAUUAUCCACUGCAUGAUUAAUUUCACCUUUCUUCUUUAUUUGGUGAUCACUGUUUGAUUUUACUAAAUUUUGCUUCUCACAGUUUUUGUACUUUGGUCGGAUUUUAGAUGUUUUCACCUUUUUUGUUUCAAAAUUGAACAAUCACUUUUACUAAAUUACAGCUUCUUGUCGUGUCAUAAUUAGUCUCUAAAUAAUGCUCUUUUGGGCACUCCAAUUGCCAUUCUUUUGUGAAAUUGUGAUUUUGUAAAUUUCCCUUCCACAUAAAUGUUUCUUGUUCUGAUGUUCCAUUAAUUGUGCAAAUAAAUGUGAUUAAGCUUAAUCCUAUUAGCAUAUCUCUGUGUUUUUAGAAAAAAAAAAUCAAUAUAACUAUUCAGACCGUUUGUUGUAUUAGUAAGUGGUUUCAUAUUGGCUGCUGCACAAGUGUAUUUGAACUGGACCAUACAAAUGAGUGGGAUUAUAGGAUUGCUCAUCCGUGUGGGGUUAUUACAAGCACAUACUUGGCUGCUUUAUGCUUACGUUCUUGACAAAAUCUUUGUAUUUGUUACUGUUGUUUAUGAUGUGCUAUAAACUCCUUUUUGCUGAUUAGUUGGAAAAAGCAGAAUGAUAGAUCUGAUAGUUAUGGUUCUUCUAGUUUAAAUGAUCUGUGGCAAACCAGGAAACAAUUAUGGCCUCUUAUGAAUGCCAACGAGAUCUCUGAUAAGUGAAAGACCUGGUGGCCUCUCCCGCCCAACACUUAGAACUUUCCUCUUUUGAGUAUCACAGUGUUAAUAUCAGCUUCAUAUAAAUUUGUGUAUCUCCAUGUCCUUCAACAGUAGCUUGAAGAUUUUUCUUUCAGACAAGUCACAGUUCUCUGAUUAUCAAGAGGUUCUUAUUUCAGUUGCUUUCAAGGUCACCGAAGCCAACUGAGUUUAUGUUACGAUUGGUGACACUCUUCUGUGGGGUUGCUGGAAAUUACAUCUCGUCCUGCAUUUCUUUUUCUAAAUUAGUUGAGACAGCUACAUCUGCUGAGGAUGGAUGCGGGCCACUUGUGAUGUUUAUUCUUUCAAGAGACUUAAGCAGUGCAUUUUUCAUCUUUGAUCUUGCUGAGAGAUAUAAAUUAACAAUUUUAGUAGAAGUGGCAUAAGAGAUGCUGCCAAAAAUCAGAUACAAGUUUGCUGAUCUGAUUGGUAAAUGGUUCUUACCAUCAGCCAUCUUAACUACAUCUUGGAAAGAUAUUCGAUCUACUCAAAGAUCAGAUACAAAGGCCUUUACUCUUUAUCUUUAUGUCAGCCAAUUCUUUCAAGUUUACUAUUUCAUCAUUUUGGGACAUUAACAGACGAAACUAUCUGGUUUGGCGGUAUAAAUUAGUAUGUCACAAAUUUAUAAUUCCAAAUUUUUUUUUAUUGUGUAUUGACUUUCCAGGGCAGGGAUUGGCUCACGCGAACUUUUAGUCAAAAAGGUGUUCUGAAAAUCAACCCUUUUUUAUUGCCAGGCUAUUUUUCGCCUUCUGUUUCCAUUAGCGAAACGUGGUAUCAAGUUGCAGCUUGAGCUCUAGCCAGGAACAAUUGUCUGGAUCCGAAGGAAUUGUGUGCUAAUACACCAAAAUUCUGCCGAAUUGUUUUGAUCGAAUUUAAAAGGUAAUUUAUUUUGUCUUAGCCUCUUGAUGUUUCCUGAUUUA